rnacentral:rRNA from 1 species
AACGAACGCUGGCGGCAUGCCUAACACAUGCAAGUCGAACGAAGCCUUCGGGCUUAGUGGCGCACGGGUGCGUAACGCGUGGGAAUCUGCCCUUGGGUUCGGAAUAGCAGUUAGAAAUGACUGCUAAUACCGGAUGAUGUCUUCGGACCAAAGAUUUAUCGCCCAAGGAUGAGCCCGCGUAGGAUUAGGUAGUUGGUGGGGUAAUGGCCCACCAAGCCGACGAUCCUUAGCUGGUCUGAGAGGAUGAUCAGGCACACUGGGACUGAGACACGGCCCAGACUCCUACGGGAGGCAGGAGUGGGGAAUAAUGGGCAAUGGGCGAAAGCCUGAUCCAGCAAUGCCGCGUGAGUGAUGAAGGCCUUAGGGUUGUAAAGCUCUUUUACCAGGGAUGAUAAUGACAGUACCUGGAGAAUAAGCUCCGGCUAACUCCGUGCCAGCCGCCGCGGUAA